UACGUAGGGGGCUAGCGUUGUCCGGAUUUAUUGGGCGUAAAGAGCGUGUAGGCGGCCAGGUAGGUCUGCUGUGAAAACUCGAGGCUCAACCUCGAGACGUCGGCGGAAACCAUCUGGCUAGAGUCCGGGAGAGGGAUGCGGAAUUCCAAGGUGUAGCGGUGAAAUGCGCAGAUAUCAGGAGGAACACCGGUGGCGAAGGCGGGUCUCUGGGCCGAUACUGACGUGGAGGAGC
rnacentral:rRNA from 1 species